ensembl:lncRNA
AGCAACAGCGGAAGACAGGGAGGAUCCUGCAGGCCGGAGGGGCGCAGAGGAAGAGGGAGGAGCUGAAGGAAGCAGAAAAAAAAGGGAGGGCAGCGCGAGGGAGAGGAUUUUCCCUUCUGAUCUGUUUUCGGGCUGGCGGGUGGAGGCUGCUGCGGCUGGUGGUCGCGUUUCCACCUGAUAGAAGAUGGUGAAUACGUGAGGAGAGAGGCUUUCGGCCUGUUUCGCUGCUGCGGGAGUGCCUUUCCUUCCUCUCUCUUCCUCUCCUUUUCCGUGUUCCUGCGUCUGUGUGUUUGGCUCCCCGGCUCUCUGUGCAUGCACAUCUUGUACAUAUAUCUGAGCAGGGAUCUUCUCUCGGCAGCACUGCUCUGCACAGGAAAAAGGGCUCGGCUGCAGCAGCAUCAUCAACAGCAGCAUCAGCAGCGCCGGCAGCGCCACCAGCUCCGUAAUUCUCUCUCCGUUCCCUUCCUCUCCAUCUCCCUUUCCCUCUGCCCCCCCCUCCCUUAUCUUCCCGCAGCUAUUCAGAAAUUGCAUUUUCUCUUCUACGAUAUACGUGGCUUCUCUCCCCACCCCCCACCCCCUUAAUCGGAGAAGGCACACAUACACACACAAACGCAGAGAAACAAGAGAAAGAAAAGUACUGCGAGCUUCUCCCUCCGCUGCAAACACUGAAAGCAAACGGAGACGGGAUUUGGCUUCUACCCCAACAUAAAGCCCUGCCUCUUUUACUUAUUCGCCACCUCCUCCGAGAAAGAGAAGCAAAGAGAGGAUCUAAAGUGGAGAAAGGCAGGUAUUCUACAUCUGGCAUUUGGAGCACAGGGAGCCAGGAAGUGAAAGAUGGUUGUGGUUGCCCGCGCUGGCUGCAGGGCAGCUGUCUUCCUCUGGAUUUUCAGCAGCAUCAGUUGCAGAGCCAGGACUUCUCUGCCUGCUCUUUGGUUGAUGUUAUCACAAGCAAUGAGGAGCCCUCUGGCAUCUUUUACCUUCUUACUCCCUUUUCAAGGAGAAGAUAAAAAAUGGAGACGCCCUAUUAAGAUAAGGAGAGAGAACUAAUUUGCUACUAAAGGUAAAAGAAUGUAAGGUAAUGAUAUAAAAUGGGAAUUACAGGUUAAAAAAAAAAAACACAAAAAAAACCAGGAGAGAAAGUAUUUGUCCAUUAACCAUGCCUCUAUCUGUGCUGCCCAGGAUGAAAGAAUUUUCUCUCACCACUUGGAAUUGGAAAUCACAUGAGAAGUACUGGAGACUUCUGAAAACUGUAGUCCAUCUUUUCUCAGCAUAUCUUCCUCUUGGAGAGUCAGACCCAUGUGAGAAUAGCUGAGACUGCUAAGAGCUAGGAUCCGGGAAAUGCAACACCCCAGCACUGUGUUCCAGUACUAAACAGCUUUCCACGUGAUGGAAUACUGAUAAAACCGGAACAUCUCAACACUUCUUUCCAGCAGACAGAAUUUUUGAAGAACGUUACACAGCAAUGCCAUGGAGAGACUACCAAGCUUGCUUAGUUACUGGAAAUAUUAACCUCAGUCUGUAAAGAGAAUGGGUGGAUGUCCAGGCUAAGGAGGUUUUAUCACCCUUGCUUUUUUACCCUAUCUUAGAGUCUAAAUCUUUC